GCAUGGGUGGUUCAGUGGUAGAAUUCUCGCUUUCCACGUAGAACCUGGGUUCGAUUCCUGGACAAUGCA
rnacentral:tRNA from 1 species